UAUUGGACAAUGGGGGCAACCCUGAUCCAGCCAUGCCGCGUGAGUGAAGAAGGCCUUCCGCCCUGUAAAGCUCUUUCGACGGGGACGAUGAUGACGGUACCCGUAUAAGAAGCCCCGGCAAACUUCGUGCCAGCAGCCGCGGUAAUACGAAGGGGGCUAGCGUUGUUCGGAAUUACUGGGCGUAAAGCGCGCGUAGGCGGUGAUCCAUGUCAGAGGUGAAAGCCCGGGGCUCAACUCCGGAAUUGCCUUUGAAACGGGAUCGCUAGAGUCCGAGAGAGGAUGGCGGAAUUCCUAGUGUAGAGGUGAAAUUCGUAGAUAUUAGGAAGAACACCGGUGGCGAAGGCGGCCAUCGGCUCGGUACUGACGUCAGGCGCGAAA
rnacentral:rRNA from 1 species